rnacentral:rRNA from 1 species
GAUGAACGCUGGCGGCGUGCCUAAUACAUGCAAGUCGAGCGAACAGACGAGGAGCUUGCUCCUCUGACGUUAGCGGCGGACGGGUGAGUAACACGUGGAUAACCUACCUAUAAGACUGGGAUAACUUCGGGAAACCGGAGCUAAUACCGGAUAAUAUAUUGAACCGCAUGGUUCAAUAGUGAAAGACGGUUUUGCUGUCACUUAUAGAUGGAUCCGCGCCGCAUUAGCUAGUUGGUAAGGUAACGGCUUACCAAGGCAACGAUGCGUAGCCGACCUGAGAGGGUGAUCGGCCACACUGGAACUGAGACACGGUCCAGACUCCUACGGGAGGCAGCAGUAGGGAAUCUUCCGCAAUGGGCGAAAGCCUGACGGAGCAACGCCGCGUGAGUGAUGAAGGUCUUCGGAUCGUAAAACUCUGUUAUUAGGGAGGAACAAAUGUGUAAGUAACUAUGCACGUCUUGACGGUACCUAAUCAGAAAGCCACGGCUAAUUACGUG